CAAGUCGUACGAGAUUCAUUCAUUGUUAAUUUUGCCUCGGUAGAAUUAAUCGAAUGGAUUGCAGUGGCGGACGGGUGCGUAACGCGUAAGAACUUACCUUUUGGUGGGGGAUAACAACGGGAAACUGUUGCUAAUACCCUAUAAUGCUGAGGAGCUAAAAGUGAAAACUGCCAAGAGAGAGGCUUGCGUCUGAUUAGCUAGUUGGUGGGGGUAAUGGCCUCCCAAGGCGACGAUCAGUAGCUGGUCUGGGAGGAUGAUCAGCCACACUGGGACUGAGACACGGCCCAGACUCCUACGGGAGGCAGCAGUGAGGAAUUUUCCGCAAUGGGCGAAGGCCUGACGGAGCAAUACCGCGUGAAGGAUGACGAUCCGUGGAUCUUAAACUUCUUUUCUCAAGGAAGAAACAAUGACGGUACUUGAGGAAUAAGCACCGGCUAACUCUGUGCCAGCAGCCGCGGUAAUACAGGGGGUGCAAGCAUUGUCCGGAAUGAUUGGGCGUAAAGCGUCUGUAGGUGGUUUUUAAAGUCUACUGUCAAAUCCCAGAGCUCAACUUUGGACAGGCAGUGGAGUACUUAAAGGCUAGAGUAUGGUAGGGGUAGAGGGAACUCCUUGUGGAGCGGUGAAAUGCACAGAGAUAAGGAGGAACACCAGUGGCGAAGGCGCUCUACUGGGCCAUGACUGACACUGAGAGACGAUAGCUGGGGGAGCGAAUAGGAUUAGAUACCCUAGUAGUCCCAGCCGUAAACGAUGAACACUAAGUGCUGUUUAAAGCAGUGCUGUAGCUAACGCGUUAAGUGUUCCGCCUGGGGAAUACGUACGCAAGUAUGAAACUCAAAGGAAUUGACGG
rnacentral:rRNA from 1 species